rnacentral:rRNA from 1 species
GUGAUAUAGAGCAAAACCCUAAAAAACGGUCUCAGUUCGGAUUGAAGGCUGAAAUUCGCCUUCAUGAAGCUGGAAUUGCUAGUAAUGGCAGGUCAGCAUACUGCCGUGAAUACGUUCCCGGGCCUUGUACACGCCGCCCGUCACACCAUGAGAGUUGGGAAUACCCGAAGCCUGUGAGCUAACAUAUGAGGCAGCAGUCGAAGGUAGAAUCAAUGAUUGGGGUGAAGUCGUAACAAGGUAUC